rnacentral:rRNA from 1 species
GACGAACGCUGGCGGCGUGCUUAACACAUGCAAGUCGAACGGAAAGGCCCUGCUUUUGUGGGGUGCUCGAGUGGCGAACGGGUGAGUAACACGUGAGUAACCUGCCCUUGACUUUGGGAUAACUUCAGGAAACUGGGGCUAAUACCGGAUAGGAGCUCCUGCUGCAUGGUGGGGGUUGGAAAGUUUCGGCGGUUGGGGAUGGACUCGCGGCUUAUCAGCUUGUUGGUGGGGUAGUGGCUUACCAAGGCUUUGACGGGUAGCCGGCCUGAGAGGGUGACCGGCAAAAUGGGGACUGGGAUACGGCCCAGACUCAUACGGGGGGAAGAAGUGGGGAAUAUUGACAAAGGGGCGGAAGCCGGAUGAAGCAACGCCGCGUGCGGGAGGACGGCCUUCGGGUGGUAAACCGCUUUCGCCUGUGACGAAGCGUGAGUGACGGUAAUGGGUAAAGAAGAACCGGCUAACUACGU